CGCGCCCCAGGAAGUAGGGUUUGCCUUCGGUGAUUUGAAGUCUAAUAUCUUUCCCAAUGAGUUACACUCAUUUCCCAUCCAUCUAAUGGGCGCUGGCAGCGUGUUUCGAUUAUUCUUGGCUCCCGGCCUCCAUCCGACCAAGUAGCUGUUGCUACUCCUACAAGUUUUUCUGGUGCCCGUUAUCUCCACGACAGCCGAAUCCAAAGCUCUAAGAGCUGCUCGGCCGCUGGAAUGAUCGGUGGCUUUUCCAACCCCGGGGGGCGGGGGUGUGAAAGGCUUAUCUUGAGUAAUAAAAUAGUACAGGAAGUGAGAGAGCGCCACAAACAACAGUGGGUUUGCUAGUUCUUUCGACGUCUGUAGAACACUUGCUAUGUAGUCUGUGCUGAAAAUACGAACACAUCGACUGUAUUUUUAAAUUCAUUGACACCCAAAUUCUAUGUGGCACUUACAGGGACAUCUUCACUGAUAUCAGGACUAAUAUUUAUAUUUGAAUGGUGGUACUUCCAUAAGCAUGGCACAUCUUUUAUUGAGCAAGUAUCUGUAAGCCAUUUGCAACCACUGAUGGGAGGAACAGAGAGCAGCAUUUCAGAACCAGGUUCUCCUUCGAGGAACAGAGAAAGUGAAACCAGCAGACAGAAUUUGUCAGAAUGUAAGGUAUGGAGAAACCCUCUAAAUCUUUUCAGAGGAGCAGAAUAUAGGAGAUACACUUGGGUGACUGGUAAAGAGCCACUUACAUACUAUGACAUGAACCUGUCAGCUCAGGACC
rnacentral:sRNA from 1 species